ensembl:lncRNA
UUAUGAAAUCGUUAAGUUUAUUUGGGACACGAGAAUUUGCUGAACGCCUUCCGGACCUGGCUAUGCAUUCGUGACUACUGAUCUUUUUCCGACACAAUGCUUCCUGCUCCUGGUCCCUGACAGACAUACUUUGCAGUGCCUCCUGGUUCGGCUGCCUUGGGCAUCUGUCUGAGGCAUUUCAGCUGGGAAAUGUCGUGCAGUGAGGCGCAGGGGGUUGUCACCAGAAGGCCGGCCUCCUGUGGGUGGACAGCGAGGGAUGUGAUGCUCCUCCAGCAGCUCUCUCAUGAGGUUCUCCCGAUAUUUUUGGUGGUCGACCCUUCCGGUUUCUGACAUGGUGGCCGUAUGGACAGUGGAGAGGACAUGAACAUCCCUCUUGUCAUGCCACUUCACAGCUAGCUGUUUCCCAUGUCCAAGAAUUCAACCUCCCCUCUCUGCAUCUUCCUGCUGCUGAAUCUUGGCAUCCCCUUCCUGUCACUCUGGACUGUGCCACAGGCCCCAGUGCUGUUAGACAAGAGAUGCUGAAACAGAGUUGGACUACUGUACUAGUUGUCAACAUAAAGUGUGUGGCCCUUGCCAAGGUGAGGAGCCAACAUGGUCAUUACCACUGAUCCGGACACACCAAGACCCUCAUAAUGCUGGAUGUCAGUAGGGGAUCCUGUGUGUAUUAUAAUGUCCUGAACAAAUCCUGUCUUGACAUCACACAGAAAUAAUUUGACCCCAAACCUGUGCCUUUUGGAGGGAAUAUAUUGUCGAAAGGACAACCUACCCUUCCACAGCAUUAGGGAUUCAUCGAUGCACAGAUCUUUGUAGGGGUCAAAGACCUGACCAAAUGCUUUUGUCAGUCCUGAUAGAACUCUCCUUAUUUUGUG